rnacentral:rRNA from 1 species
GGGGUGUAAAGCUCUUUCCGCCGGGACGAUCAUGACGGUACCCGAAGAAGAAGCCGCGGCUAACUACGUGCCAGCAGCCGCGGUAAUACGUAGGCAGCGAGCGUUGUUCGGAAUUACUGGGCGUAAAGAGUGCGUAGGCGGUGCUCUAAGUUAGGUGUGAAAUCUCCGGGCUUAACUCGGAGGGUGCGCCAGAAACUGGAGUGCUCGAGCGUGGGAGAGGAAAGCGGAAUUCCCGGUGUAGCGGUGAAAUGCGUAGAUAUCAGGAGGAACACCUGCGGUGUAGACGGCUUUCUGGACCAUUGCUGACGCUGAGACACGAAAGCGUGGGUAGCAAACAGGAUUAGAUACCCUGGUAGUCCACGCCCUAAACGAUGCAUACUUGGUGUCGGCCAUUCAGUUGGUCGGUGCCCGAGCUAACGCGUUAAA